CUUGCGUCUUCCUUUUAGGCACUAGAGGAGAAAUAUCUUCUGUUCCCCCUUUCCCUGACCUUCUCAGCCACCUGACACUUUACUCCACUUUCCCCAAUCCUAUAGGUUUUAGGGAAAGAUGAAGCCCUCUUUAAACCCAUCUCUCUGACCCUUAGGCUGAAAAACUGAAUGUCUCCCCAAGAGUUAAUCUAAGAAUAUCCGAACUCACCGCCAAGGCCAUGAACACAGGGUGCCAGGAGAAAAGACCUAAGUAAGAAUCAAAGAGAAUAGGCUGACGGCUGGGCUUCACUGAUACUGUCCCGUGGUUUGUAAAUGACAAAGACCGGGCCACAAGGUCAGCAUAUCAUCUUAAACCUAAACAAGAAUCAGGAGCUCACCACAAAGGGAGGAGUCAAGGGGCCCUUACACCCCCUUGGCCUGGGGAUUGCACUUGCUGCAGCCCAGUCCCUAGAGUACCUUAGCCUGCCCAGGACCCUCUAACGCUUUUCCAUGUAGGGCCUCCUAAGGAAGUAUCAGUUCUGUCUUUUCAAGCCCCACCCUCCCUGGACUUCCGGGAACCCGCCUACUACGCUUUUACAACCACUCCCGGACCCGCCCCUCCUCAGCUGAGGGUCCAGGUUUCCAGUCUCCCAGUGCGCCCAAAGCGGCCCCUCCAGCGCCUAGGCUCCGCCCCUUCUUUGGCCCCGCCCCACCUCGCCUCGCACACUCACUGGUUCCGGGCCGGGACAGCACAGUCAGAAAGAUGGUGAAGCCCAAAGCUAUCAGGGUAUCUCAAGAGGUCUGCGAAAAUUACAUCGGUAGCAACUGAUACCAGCGAAAUCCCAAAUCACACACUUGAUUCGCUGACCCAAGAGCAUGAAACCAGUGUUCUGAGCAGCUUUCUAGAAGUACUGGAUUCCCUGGACUGCUUACUUCUCAGACAUUUCUGGCUUGUUCAAGAGACAAGAUUUCUCCCUGUAUUAACA
rnacentral:lncRNA from 1 species